CAAGCUCAAAUUUCCUGUGGUUACUUCUUGUGUGCUCCUAAGUAAAAGAAAAAUAUCAAAAAAAAAUAAAAAGAAUUGCAGGUUUCGAACCGUGUUGUUCGCAAGCUGGAUUGAUUUGUGUCUUUUUUCCACCAAAUCGAUAGUUGCCAGAAACUUUCGGAAGAUCGGGCCACACUUAUUCUCCUCAAGUGGUAAUCAAAGCUUCAGACAUAACGUUAGGUUCACAUCUACCCUUAGUUUCGAGUGUCCUUGUGUUCGUCCCAUAAGUCUGGUGCCAUAUUGUUUUCAUGUCCUACAACCCGUCCGCGCCAUAGCCUUUGCAUAUUUCAGUUUCCGAGUUCAUAGUGUUGAGUUUGUGUCCUGGUCGAGAUCUUGUUACUGGUUAGGUCUUGUUAGAGUCCAAUUUGUGUGUUUCUUCCCACCGUUUCCAUCAAUUUAUAGCCACCGCCGCAAAUUUUCCCACUUCUGGACUGUUUUGUUCUCUAAUUCGGAGUCCGUUCGUAAAACAGCCAUAACUUUCGCAUACGAACUCCGAUUUUGACGUUGCAUAUAUCAAAAUCGAUCAGAAAUUUUUUUUGGGUCUGUCUAUGCCCGCUUUGCGGGUUCGACAAAUUUAGAAUCCCCAAAUUCGCCUCUGAUGUUGGAGUUUUCACCUCCUAAUGUUUUCUUUAUAUUUUUCGCAAUCUUCAAAACUUUCCACAGGCCACGUCUUUCACUUGUUCAAGCUCAAAUUUCCUGUGGUUACUUCUUGUGUGCUCCUAAGUAAAAGAAAAAUAUCAAAGAAAAAUAAAAAGAACUGCAGGUUUCGAACCGUGUUGUUCGCAAGGUGGAUUGAUUUGUGACUCUUUUCCACCAAAUCGAUAGUUGCCAGAAACUUUCGGAAGAUCGGGCCACACUUAUUCUCCUCAAGUGGUAAUCAAAGCUUUAGACAUAACGUUAGGUUCACAUCUACCCUUAGUUUCGAGUGUCCUUGUGUUCGUCCCAUAAGUCUGGUGCCAUAUUGUUUUCAUGUCCUACAACCCAUCCGCGCCAUAGCCUUUGCAUAUUUCAGUUUCAGAGUCCGUAGUGUUGAGUUUGUGUCCUGGUCGAGGUCUUGUUACUGGUUAGGUCUUGUUAGAGUCCAAUUUGUGUGUUUCUUCCCACCGUUUCCAUCAAUUUAUAGCCACCGCCGCAAAUUUUCCCACUUCUGGACUGUUUUGUCCUCUAAUUCGGAGUCCGUUCGUAAAACAGCCAUAACUUUCGCAUACGAACUCCGAUUUUGACGUUCCAUAUAUCAAAAUCGAUCAGAAAAUUUUUUUUGGGUCUGUCUAUGCCCGCCAUAGGCAGGUUCGACAAAUUAGGAUCCCCAAAUUCGCCUCUGAAGUUUGAGUUUUCACCUCCUAAAGUUUUCUUUAUAUUUUUCGCAAUCUUCAAAACUUUCCACAGGCCACGUCUUUCACUUGUUCAAGCUCAAAUUUCCUGUGGUUACUUCUUGAGUGCUCCUAAGUAAAAGAAAAAUAUCAAAAAAAAAAUAAAAAGAAUUGCAGGUUUGGAACCGUGUUGUUCGCAAGCUGGAUUGAUUUGUCUCUUUUCCACCAAAUCGAUAGUUGCCAGAAACUUUCGGAAGAUCGGGCCACACUUAUUCUCCUCAAGUGGUAAUCAAAGCUUCAGACAUAACGUCAGGUUCACAUCUACCCUUAGUUUCGAGUGUCCUUGUGUUCGUCCCAUAAGUCUGGUGCCAUAUUAUUUUCAUGUCCUACAACCCAUCCGCGCCAUAGCCUUUGCAUAUUUCUGUUUCCGAGUCCAUAGUGUUGAGUUUGUGUCCUGGUCGAGGUCUUGUUACUGGUUAGGUCUUGUUAGAGUCCAAUUUGUGUGUUUCUUCCCACCGUUUCCAUCAAUUUAUAGCCACCGCCGCAAAUUUUCCCACUUCUGGACUGUUUUGUCCUCUAAUUCGGAGUCCGUUCUUAAAACAGCCAUAACUUUCGCAUACGAACUCCGAUUUUGGCGUUCUAUAUAUCAAAAUCGAUCAGAAAAUUUUUCUGGGUCUGUCUAUGCCCGCUAGCGGGUUCGACAAAUUUAGAAUCCCCAAAUUCGCCUCUGAAGUUUGAGUUUUCACCUCCUAAAGUUUUCUUUAUAUUUUUCGCAAUCUUCAAAACUUUCCACAGGCCACGUCUUUCACUUGUUCAAGCUCAAAUUUCCUGUGGUUACUUCUUGUGUGCUCCUAAGUAAAAGAAAAAUAUCAAAGAAAAAUAAAAAGAACUGCAGGUUUCGAACCGUGUUGUUCGCAAGCUGGAUUGAUUUGUGUCUCUUUUCCACCAAAUCGAUAGUUGCCAGAAACUUUCGGAAGAUCGGGCCACACUUAUUCUGCUCAAGUGGUAAUCAAAGCUUUAGACAUAACGUUAGGUUCACAUCUACCCUUAGUUUCGAGUGUCCUUGUGUUCAUCCCAUAAGUCUGGUGCCAUAUUGUUUUCAUGUCCUACAACCCAUCCGCGCCAUAGCCUUUGCAUAUUUCAGUUUCCGAGUUCAUAGUGUUGAGUUUGUGUCCUGGUCGAGAUCUUGUUACUGGUUAGGUCUUGUUAGAGUCCAAUUUGUGUGUUUCUUCCCACCGUUUCCAUCAAUUUAUAGCCACCGCCACAAAUUUUCCCACUUCUGGACUGUUUUGUCCUCUAAUUCGGAGUCCGUUCGUAAAACAGCCAUAACUUUCGCAUACGAACUCCGAUUUUGACGUUGCAUAUAUCAAAAUCGAUCAAAAAUUUUUUUUGGGUCUGUCUAUGCCCGCUUUGCGGGUUCGACAAAUUUAGAAUCCCCAAAUUCGCCUCUGAAGUUGGAGUUUUCACCUCCUAAAGUUUUCUUUAUAUUUUUCGCAAUCUUCAAAACUUUCCACAGGCCACGUCUUUCACUUGUUCAAGCUCAAAUUUCCUGUGGUUACUUCUUGUGUGCUCCUAAGUAAAAGAAAAAUAUCAAAGAAAAAUAAAAAGAACUGCAGGUUUCGAACCGUGUUGUUCGCAAGGUGGAUUGAUUUGUGUCUCUUUUCCACCAAAUCGAUAGUUGCCAGAAACUUUCGGAAGAUCGGGCCACACUUUUUCUCCUCAAGUGGUAAUCAAAGCUUCAGACAUAACGUUAGGUUCACAUCUACCCUUAGUUUCGAGUGUCCUUGUGUUCGUCCCAUAAGUCUGGUGCCAUAUUGUUUUCAUGUCCUACAACCCAUCCGCGCCAUAGCCUUUGCAUAUUUCAGUUUCAGAGUCCGUAGUGUUGAGUUUGUGUCCUGGUCGAGGUCUUGUUACUGGUUAGGUCUUGUUAGAGUCCAAUUUGUGUGUUUCUUCCCACCGUUUCCAUCAAUUUAUAGCCACCGCCGCAAAUUUUCCCACUUCUGGACUGUUUUGUCCUCUAAUUCGGAGUCCGUUCGUAAAACAGCCAUAACUUUCGCAUACGAACUCCGAUUUUGACGUUCCAUAUAUCAAAAUCGAUCAGAAAUUUUUUUUUGGGUCUGUCUAUGCCCGCCACUGGCGGGUUCGACAAAUUAGGAUCCCCAAAUUCGCCUCUGAGGUUUGAGUUUUCACCUCCUAAAGUUUUCUUUAUAUUUUUCGCAAUCUUCAAAACUUUCCACAGGCCACGUCUUUCACUUGUUCAAGCUCAAAUUUCCUGUGGUUACUUCUUGAGUGCUCCCAAGUUAAAGAAAAAUAUCACAAAAAAUAAAAAGAAUUGCAGGUUUCGAACCGUGUUGUUCGCAAGCUUGAUUGAUUUUUGUCUUUUUUCCACCAAAUCAAUAGUUGCCAGAAACUUUCGGAAGAUCGGGCCACACUUAUUCUCCUCAAGUGGUAAUCAAAGCUUCAGACAUAACGUUAGGUUCACAUCUACCCUUAGUUUCGAGUGUCCUUGUGUUCGUCCCAUAAGUCUGGUGCCAUAUUGUUUUCAUGUCCUACAACCCAUCCGCGCCAUAGCCUUUGCAUAUUUCAGUUUCCGAGUUCAUAGUGUUGAGUUUGUGUCCUGGUCGAGAUCUUGUUACUGGUUAGGUCUUGUUAGAGUCCAAUUUGUGUGUUUCUUCCCACCGUUUCCAUCAAUUUAUAGCCACCGCCGCAAAUUUUCCCACUUCUGGACUGUUUUGUCCUCUAAUUCGGAGUCCGUUCGUAAAACAGCCAUAACUUUCGCAUACGAACUCCGAUUUUGACGUUGCAUAUAUCAAAAUCGAUCAGAAAUUUUUUUUGGGUCUGUCUAUGCCCGCUUUGCGGGUUCGACAAAUUUAGAAUCCCCAAAUUCGCCUCUGAAGUUGGAGUUUUCACCUCCUACAGUUUUCUUUAUAUUUUUCGCAAUCUUCAAAACUUUGCACAGGCCACGUCUUUCACUUGUUCAAGCUCAAAUUUCCUGUGGUUACUUCUUGUGUGCUCCUAAGUAAAAGAAAAAUAUCAAAGAAAAAUAAAAAGAACUGCAGGUUUCGAACUGUGUUGUUCGCAAGCUGGAUUGAUUUGUGUCUCUUUUCCACCAAAUCGAUAGUUGCCAGAAACUUUCGGAAGAUCGGGCCACACUUAUUCUCCUCAAGUGGUAAUCAAAGCUUCAGACAUAACGUUAGGUUAACAUCUACCCUUAGUUUCGAGUGUCCUUGUGUUCGUUCCAUAAGUCUGGUGCUAUAUUGUUUUCAUGUCCUACAACCCAUCCGCGCCAUAGCCUUUGCAUAUUUCAGUUUCAGAGUCCGUAGUGUUGAGUUUGCGUCCUGGUCGAGGUCUUGUUACUGGUUAGGUCUUGUUAGAGUCCAAUUUGUGUGUUUCUUCCCACCGUUUCCAUCAAUUUAUAGCCACCGCCGCAAAUUUUCCCACUUGUGGACUAUUUUGUCCUCUAAUUCGGAGUCCGUUCGUAAAACAGCCAUAACUUUCGCAUACGAACUCCGAUUUUGACGUUCCAUAUAUCAAAAUCGAUCAGAAAAUUUUUUUGGGUCUGUCUAUGCCCGCCAUAGGCGGGUUCGACAAAUUAGGAUCCCCAAAUUCGCCUCUGAAGUUUGAGUUUUCACCUCCUAAAGUUUUCUUUAUAUUUUUCGCAAUCUUCAAAACUUUCCACAGGCCACGUCUUUCACUUGUUCAAGCUCAAAUUUCCUGUGGUUACUUCUUGAGUGCUCCCAAGUUAAAGAAAAAUAUCAAAAAAAAUAAAAAGAAUUGCAGGUUUCGAACCGUGUUGUUCGUAAGCUGGAUUGAUUUGUGUCUUUUUUCCACCAAAUCGAUAGUUGCCAGAAACUUUCGGAAGAUCGGGCCACACUUAUUCUCCUCAAGUGGUAAUCAAAGCUUCAGACAUAACGUUAGGUUCACAUCUACCCUUAGUUUCGAGUGUCCUUGUGUUCGUCCCAUAAGUCUGGUGCCAUAUUGUUUUCAUGUCCUACAACCCAUCCGCGCCAUAGCCUUUGCAUAUUUCAGUUUCCGAGUUCAUAGUGUUGAGUUUGUGUCCUGGUCGAGAUCUUGUUACUGGUUAGGUCUUGUUAGAGUCCAAUUUGUGUGUUUCUUCCCACCGUUUCCAUCAAUUUAUAGCCACCGCCGCAAGUUUUCCCACUUCUGGACUGUUUUGUUCUCUAAUUCGGAGUCCGUUCAUAAAACAGCCAUAACUUUCGCAUACGAACUCCGAUUUUGACGUUGCAUAUAUCAAAAUCGAUCAAAAAUUUUUUUUGGGUCUGUCUAUGCCCGCUUUGCGGGUUCGACAAAUUAGGAUCCCCAAAUUCGCCUCUGAAGUUUGAGUUUUCACCUCCUAAAGUUUUCUUUAUAUUUUUCGCAAUCUUCAAAACUUUCCACAGGCCACGUCUUUCACUUGUUCAAGCUCAAAUUUCCUGUGGUUACUUCUUGUGUGCUCCUAAGUAAAAGAAAAAUAUCAAAGAAAAAUAAAAAGAACUGCAGGUUUCAAACCGUGUUGUUCGCAAGGUGGAUUGAUUUGUGUCUCUUUUCCACCAAAUCGAUAGUUGCCAGAAACUUUCGGAAGAUCGGGCCACACUUAUUCUCCUCAAGUGGUAAUCAAAGCUUCAGACAUAACGUUAGGUUCACAUCUACCCUUAGUUUCGAGUGUCCUUGUGUUCGUCCCAUAAGUCUGGUGCCAUAUUGUUUUCAUGUCCUACAACCCAUCCGCGCCAUAGCCUUUGCAUAUUUCAGUUUCAGAGUCCGUAGUGUUGAGUUUGUGUCCUGGUCGAGGUCUUGUUACUGGUUAGGUCUUGUUAGAGUCCAAUUUGUGUGUUUCUUCCCACCGUUUCCAUCAAUUUAUAGCCACCGCCGCAAAUUUUCCCACUUCUGGACUGUUUUGUCCUCUAAUUCGGAGUCCGUUCGUAAAACAGCCAUAACUUUCGCAUACGAACUCCGAUUUUGACGUUCCAUAUAUCAAAAUCGAUCAGAAAAUUUUUUUUGGGUCUGUCUAUGCCCGCCACAGGCGGGUUCGACAAAUUAGGAUCCCCAAAUUCGCCUCUGAAGUUUGAGUUUUCACCUCCUAAAGUUUUCUUUAUAUUUUUCGCAAUCUUCAAAACUUUCCACAGGCCACGUCUUUCACUUGUUCAAGCUCAAAUUUCCUGUGGUUACUUCUUGAGUGCUCCCAAGUUAAAGAAAAAUAUCAAAAAAAAUAAAAAGAAUUGCAGGUUUCGAACCGUGUUGUUCGCAAGCUGGAUUGAUUUGUGUCUUUUUUCCACCAAAUCGAUAGUUGCCAGAAACUUUCGGAAGAUCGGGCCACACUUAUUCUCCUCAAGUGGUAAUCAAAGCUUCAGACAUAACGUUAGGUUCACAUCUACCCUUAGUUUCGAGUGUCCUUGUGUUCGUCCCAUAAGUCUGGUGCCAUAUUGUUUUCAUGUCCUACAACCCAUCCGCGCCAUAGCCUUUGCAUAUUUCAGUUUCCGAGUUCAUAGUGUUGAGUUUGUGUCCUGGUCGAGAUCUUGUUACUGGUUAGGUCUUGUUAGAGUCCAAUUUGUGUGUUUCUUCCCACCGUUUCCAUCAAUUUAUAGCCACCGCCGCAAAUUUUCCCACUUCUGGACUGUUUUGUUCUCUAAUUCGGAGUCCGUUCAUAAAACAGCCAUAACUUUCGCAUACGAACUCCGAUUUUGACGUUGCAUAUAUCAAAAUCGAUCAGAAAUUUUUUGGGGUCUGUCUAUGCCCGCUUUGCGGGUUCGACAAAUUUAGAAUCCCCAAAUUCGCCUCUGAAGUUGGAGUUUUCACCUCCUAAUGUUUUCUUUAUAUUUUUCGCAAUCUUCAAAACUUUCCACAGGCCACGUCUUUCACUUGUUCAAGCUCAAAUUUCCUGUGGUUACUUCUUGUGUGCUCCUAAGUAAAAGAAAAAUAUCAAAGAAAAAUAAAAAGAACUGCAGGUUUCAAACCGUGUUGUUCGCAAGGUGGAUUGAUUUGUGUCUCUUUUCCACCAAAUCGAUAGUUGCCAGAAACUUUCGGAAGAUCGGGCCACACUUAUUCUCCUCAAGUGGUAAUCAAAGCUUCAGACAUAACGUUAGGUUCACAUCUACCCUUAGUUUCGAGUGUCCUUGUGUUCGUCCCAUUAAUCUUGGGCCAUAUUGUUUUCAUGUCCUACAACCCAUCCGCGCCAUAGCCUUUGCAUAUUUCAGUUUCAGAGUCCGUAGUGUUGAGUUUGUGUCCUGGUCGAGGUCUUGUUACUGGUUAGGUCUUGUUAGAGUCCAAUUUGUGUGUUUCUUCCCACCGUUUCCAUCAAUUUAUAGCCACCGCCGCAAAUUUUCCCACUUCUGGACUGUUUUGUCCUCUAAUUCGGAGUCCGUUCGUAAAACAGCCAUAACUUUCGCAUACGAACUCCGAUUUUGGCGUUCUAUAUAUCAAAAUCGAUCAGAAAAUUUUUCUGGGUCUGUCUAUGCCUACUAGCGGGUUCGACAAAUUUAGAAUCCCCAAAUUCGCCUCUGAAGUUUGAGUUUUCACCUCCUAAAGUUUUCUUUAUAUUUUUCGCAAUCUUCAAAACUUUCCACAGGCCACGUCUUUCACUUGUUCAAGCUCAAAUUUCCUGUGGUUACUUCUUGUGUGCUCCUAAGUAAAAGAAAAAUAUCAAAGAAAAAUAAAAAGAACUGCAGGUUUCGAACCAUGUUGUUCGCAAGCUGGAUUGAUUUGUGUCUCUUUUCCACCAAAUCGAUAGUUGCCAGAAACUUUCGGAAGAUCGGGCCACACUUAUUCUCCUCAAGUGGUAAUCAAAGCUUCAGACAUAACGUUAGGUUCACAUCUACCCUUAGUUUCGAGUGUCCUUGUGUUCGUCCCAUAAGUCUGGUGCCAUAUUGUUUUCAUGUCCUACAACCCAUCCGCGCCAUAGCCUUUGCAUAUUUCAGUUUCAGAGUCCGUAGUGUUGAGUUUGUGUCCUGGUCGAGGUCUUGUUACUGGUUAGGUCUUGUUAGAGUCCAAUUUGUGUGUUUCUUCCCACCGUUUCCAUCAAUUUAUAGCCACCGCCGCAAAUUUUCCCACUUCUGGACUGUUUUGUCCUCUAAUUCGGAGUCCGUUCGUAAAACAGCCAUAACUUUCGCAUACGAACUCCGAUUUUGACGUUCCAUAUAUCAAAAUCGAUCAAAAAUUUUUUUUUGGGUCUGUCUAUGCCCUCCACAGGCGGGUUCGACAAAUUAGGAUCCCCAAAUUCGCCUCUGAAGUUUGAGUUUUCACCUCCUAAAGUUUUCUUUAUAUUUUUCGCAAUCUUCAAAACUUUCCACAGGACACGUCUUUCACUUGUUCAAGCUCAAAUUUCCUGUGGUUACUUCUUGAGUGCUCCCAAGUUAAAGAAAAAUAUCAAAAAAAAUAAAAAGAAUUGCAGGUUUCGAACCGUGUUGUUCGCAACGCUGGAUUGAUUUGUGUCUUUUUCCACCAAAUCGAUAGAUGCCACAAACUGUCGGAAGAUCGGCCCACACUUAUUCUCCUCAAAUGGUAAUCAGAUCGGGCCACACUUAUUCUCCUCAAGUGGUAAUCAAAGCUUCAGACAUAACGUUAGGUUCACAUCUACCCUUAGUUUCGAGUGUCCUUGUGUUCGUCCCAUAAGUCUGGUGCCAUAUUGUUUUCAUGUCCUACAACCCAUCCGCGCCAUAGCCUUUGCAUAUUUCAGUUUCCGAGUCCGUAGUGUUGAGUUUGUGUCCUGGUCGAGGUCUUGUUACUGGUUAGGUCUUGUUAGAGUCCAAUUUGUGUGUUUCUUCCCACCGUUUCCAUCAAUUUAUAGCCACCGCCGCAAAUUUUCCCACUUCAGGACUGUUUUGUCCUCUAAUUCGGAGUCCGUUCGUAAAACAGCCAUAACUUUCGCAUACGUUCCAUAUAUCAAAAUCGAUCAGAAAAUUUUUUUUGGGUCUGUCUAUGCCCGCCACGGGCGGGUUCGACAAAUUAGGAUCCCCAAAUUCGCCUCUGAAGUUUGAGUUUUCAUCUCCUAAAGUUUUCUUUAUAUUUUUCGCAAUCUUCAAAACUUUCCACAGGCCACGUCUUUCACUUGUUCAAGCUCAAAUUUCGUGUGGUUACUUCUUGAGUGCUCCUAAGUAAAAGAAAAAUAUCAAAGAAAAAAUAAAAUAAUUGCAGGUUUCGAACCGUGUUGUUCGCAAACUGGAUUGAUUUGUGUCUCUUUUCCACCAAAUCGAUAGUUGCCAGAAACUUUCGGAAGAUCGGGCCACACUUAUUCUCCUCAAGUGGUAAUCAAAGCUUCAGACAUAACGUUAGGUUCACAUCUACCCUUAGUUUCGAGUGUCCUUGUGUUCGUCCCAUAAGUCUGGUGCCAUAUUCUUUUCAUGUCCUACAACCCAUCCGCGCCAUAGCCUUUGCAUAUUUCAGUUUCAGAGUCCGUAGUGUUGAGUUUGUGUCCUGGUCGAGGUCUUGUUACUGGUUAGGUCUUGUUAGAGUCCAAUUUGUGUGUUUCUUCCCACCGUUUCCAUCAAUUUAUAGCCACCGCCGCAAAUUUUCCCACUUCUGGACUGUUUUGUCCUCUAAUUCGGAGUCCGUUCGUAAAACAGCCAUAACUUUCGCAUACGAACUCCGAUUUUGACGUUGCAUAUAUCAAAAUCGAUCAAAAAUUUUUUUUGGGUCUGUCUAUGCCCGCUUUGCGGGUUCGACAAAUUUAGAAUCCCCAAAUUCGCCUCUGAAGUUGGAGUUUUCACCUCCUAAAGUUUUCUUUAUAUUUUUCGCAAUCUUCAAAACUUUCCACAGGCCACGUCUUUCACUUGUUCAAGCUCAAAUUUUCUGUGGUUACUUCUUGUGUGCUCCUAAGUAAAAGAAAAAUAUCAAAGAAAAAUAAAAAGAACUGCAGGUUUCGAACCGUGUUGUUCGCAAGCUGGAUUGAUUUGUGUCUCUUUUCCACUAAAUCGAUAGUUGCCAGAAACUUUCGGAAGAUCGGGCCACACUUAUUCUCCUCAAGUGGUAAUCAAAGCUUCGGACAUAACGUUAGGUUCACAUCUACCCUUAGUUUCGAGUGUCCUUGUGUUCGUCCCAUAAGUCUGGUGCCAUAUUGUUUUCAUGUCCUACAACCCAUCCGCGCCAUAGCCUUUGCAUAUUUCAGUUUCAGAGUCCGUAGUGUUGAGUUUGUGUCCUGGUCGAGGUCUUGUUACUGGUUAGGUCUUGUUAGAGUCCAAUUUGUGUGUUUCUUCCCACCGUUUCCAUCAAUUUAUAGCCACCGCCGCAAAUUUUCCCACUUCUGGACUGUUUUGUCCUCUAAUUCGGAGUCCGUUCGUAAAACAGCCAUAACUUUCGCAUACGAACUCUGAUUUUGACGUUCCAUAUAUCAAAAUCGAUCAAAAAAUUUUUUUUGGGUCUGUCUAUGCCCUCCACAGGCGGGUUCGACAAAUUAGGAUCCCCAAAUUCGCCUCUGAAGUUUGAGUUUUCACCUCCUAAAGUUUUCUUUAUAUUUUUCGCAAUCUUCAAAACUUUCCACAGGCCACGUCUUUCACUUGUUCAAGCUCAAAUUUCCUGUGGAUACUUCUUGAGUGCUCCCAAGUUAAAGAAAAAUAUCAAAAAAAAUAAAAAGAAUUGCAGGUUUCGAACCGUGUUGUUCGCAAGCUGGAUUGAUUUGUGUCUUUUUUCCACCAAAUCGAUAGUUGCCAGAAACUUUCGGAAGAUCGGGCCACACUUAUUCUCCUCAAGUGGUAAUCAAAGCUUCAGACAUAACGUUAGGUUCACAUCUACCCUUAGUUUCGAGUGUCCUUGUGUUCGUCCCAUAAGUCUGGUGCCAUAUUGUUUUCAUGUCCUACAACCCAUCCGCGCCAUAGCCUUUGCAUAUUUCAGUUUCCGAGUUCAUAGUGUUGAGUUUGUGUCCUGGUCGAGAUCUUGUUACUGGUUAGGUCUUGUUAGAGUCCAAUUUGUGUGUUUCUUCCCACCGUUUCCAUCAAUUUAUAGCCACCGCCGCAAAUUUUACCACUUCUGGACUGUUUUGUCCUCUAAUUCGGAGUCCGUUCGUAAAACAGCCAUAACUUUCGCAUACGAACUCCGAUUUUGACGUUGCAUAUAUCAAAAUCGAUCAGAAAAUUUUUUUCGGUCUGUCUAUGCCCGCUUUGCGGGUUCGACAAAUUUAGAAUCCCCAAAUUCGCCUCUGAAGUUGGAGUUUUCACCUCCUAAACUUUUCUUUAUAUUUUUCGCAAUCUUCAAAAGUUUCCACAGGCCACGUCUUUCACUUGUUCAAGCUCAAAUUUCCUCUGGUUACUUCUUGUGUGCUCCUAAGUAAAAGAAAAAUAUCAAAAAAAAAAUAAAAUAAUUGCAGGUUUCGAACCGUGUUGUUCGCAAACUGGAUUGAUUUGUGUCUCUUUUCCACCAAAUCGAUAGUUGCCAGAAACUUUCGGAAGAUCGGGCCACACUUAUUCUCCUCAAGUGGUAAUCAAAGCUUCAGACAUAACGUUAGGUUCACAUCUACCCUUAGUUUCGAGUGUCCUUGUGUUCGUCCCAUAAGUCUGGUGCCAUAUUGUUUUCAUGUCCUACAACCCAUCCGCGCCAUAGCCUUUGCAUAUUUCAGUUUCAGAGUCCGUAGUGUUGAGUUUGUGUCCUGGUUGAGGUCUUGUUACUGGUUAGGUCUUGUUAGAGUCCAAUUUGUGUGUUUCUUCCCACCGUUUCCAUCAAUUUAUAGCCACCGCCGCAAAUUUUCCCACUUCUGGACUGUUUUGUCCUCUAAUUCGGAGUCCGUUCGUAAAACAGCCAUAACUUUCGCAUACGAACUCCGAUUUUGACGUUCCAUAUAUCAAAAUCGAUCAGAAAAUUUUUUUGGGUCUGUCUAUGCCCGCUAGUCGGGUUCGACAAAUUUAGAAUCCCCAAAUUCGCCUCUGAAGUUUGAGUUUUCACCUCCUAAAGUUUUCUUUAUAUUUUUCGCAAUCUUCAAAAGUUUCCACAGGCCACGUCUUUCACUUGUUCAAGCUCAAAUUUCCUGUGGUUACUUCUUGAGUGCUCCUAAGUAAAAGAAAAUUAUCAAAAAAAAAAAUAAAAAGAAUUGCAGGUUUCGAACCGUGUUGUUCGCAAGCUGGAUUGAUUUGUCUCUUUUCCACCAAAUCGAUAGUUGCCAGAAACUUUCGGAAGAUCGGGCCACACUUAUUCUCCUCAAGUGGUAAUCAAAGCUUCAGACAUAACGUUAGGUUCACAUCUACCCUUAGUUUCAAGUGUCCUUGUGUUGGUCCCAUAAGUCUGGUGCCGUAUUAUUUUCAUGUCCUACAACCCAUCCGCGCCAUAGCCUUUGCAUAUUUCAGUUUCCGAGUCCGUAGUGUUGAGUUUGUGUCCUGGUCGAGCUCUUGUUACUGGUUAGGUCUUGUUAGAGUCCAAUUUGUAUGUUUCUUCCCACCGUUUCCAUCAAUUUAUAGCCACCGCCGCAAAUUUUCCCACUUCUGGACUGUUUUGUCCUCUAAUUCGGAGUCCGUUCUUAAAACAGUCAUAACUUUCGCAUACGAACUCCGAUUUUGGCAUUCUAUAUAUCAAAAUCGAUCAGAAAAUUUUUCUGGGUCUGUCUAUGCCUGCUAGCGGGUUCGACAAAUUUAGAAUCCCCAAAUUCGCCUCUGAAGUUUGAGUUUUCACCUCCUAAAGUUUUCUUUAUAUUUUUCGCAAUCUUCAAAACUUUCCACAGGCCACGUCUUUCACUUGUUCAAGCUCAAAUUUCCUGUGGUUACUUCUUGUGUGCUCCUAAGUAAAAGAAAAAUAUCAAAGAAAAAUAAAAAGAACUGCAGGUUUCGAACCAUGUUGUUCGCAAGCUGGAUUGAUUUGUGUCUCUUUUCCACCAAAUCGAUAGUUGCCAGAAACUUUCGGAAGAUCGGGCCACACUUAUUCUCCUCAAGUGGUAAUCAAAGCUUCAGACAUAACGUUAGGUUCACAUCUACCCUUAGUUUCGAGUGUCCUUGUGUUCGUCCCAUAAGUCUGGUGCCAUAUUGUUUUCAUGUCCUACAACCCAUCCGCGCCAUAGCCUUUGCAUAUUUCAGUUUCAGAGUCCGUAGUGUUGAGUUUGUGUCCUGGUCGAGGUCUUGUUACUGGUUAGGUCUUGUUAGAGUCCAAUUUGUGUGUUUCUUCCCACCGUUUCCAUCAAUUUAUAGCCACCGCCGCAAAUUUUCCCACUUCUGGACUGUUUUGUCCUCUAAUUCGGAGUCCGUUCGUAAAACAGCCAUAACUUUCGCAUACGAACUCCGAUUUUGACGUUCCAUAUAUCAAAAUCGAUCAGAAAAUUUUUUUUGGGUCUGUCUAUGCCCGCCAUAGGCGGGUUCGACAAAUUAGGAUCCCCAAAUUCGCCUCUGAAGUUUGAGUUUUCACCUCCUAAAGUUUUCUUUAUAUUUUUCGCAAUCUUCAAAACUUUCCACAGGCCACGUCUUUCACUUGUUCAAGCUCAAAUUUCCUGUGGUUACUUCUUGAGUGCUCCCAAGUUAAAGAAAAAUAUCAAAAAAAAUAAAAAGAAUUGCAGGUUUCGAACCGUGUUGUUCGUAAGCUGGAUUGAUUUGUGUCUUUUUUCCACCAAAUCGAUAGUUGCCAGAAACUUUCGGAAGAUCGGGCCACACUUAUUCUCCUCAAGUGGUAAUCAAAGCUUCAGACAUAACGUUAGGUUCACAUCUACCCUUAGUUUCGAGUGUCCUUGUGUUCGUCCCAUAAGUCUGGUGCCAUAUUGUUUUCAUGUCCUACAACCCAUCCGCGCCAUAGCCUUUGCAUAUUUCAGUUUCCGAGUUCGUAGUGUUGAGUUUGUGUCCUGGUCGAGAUCUUGUUACUGGUUAGGUCUUGUUAGAGUCCAAUUUGUGUGUUUCUUCCCACCGUUUCCAUCAAUUUAUAGCCACCGCCGCAAAUUUUCCCACUUCUGGACUGUUUUGUCCUCUAAUUCGGAGUCCGUUCGUAAAACAGCCAUAACUUUCGCAUACGAACUCCGAUUUUGACGUUGCAUAUAUCAAAAUCGAUCAGAAAAUUUUUUUGGGUCUGUCUAUGCCCGCUUUGCGGGUUCGACAAAUUUAUAAUCCCCAAAUUCGCCUCUAAAGUUGGAGUUUUCACCUCCUAAUGUUUUCUUUAUAUUUUUCGCAAUCUUCAAAAGUUUCCACAGGCCACGUCUUUCACUUGUUCAAGCUCAAAUUUCCUGUGGUUACUUCUUGAGUGCUCCUAAGUAAAAGAAAAAUAUCUCAAAAAAAUAAAAUAAUUGCAGGUUUCGAACCGUGUUGUUCGCAAAUUGGAUUGAUUUGUGUCUCUUUUCCACCAAAUCGAUAGUUGCCAGAAACUUUCGGAAGAUCGGGCCACACUUAUUCUCCUCAAGUGGUAAUCAAAGCUUCAGACAUAACGUUAGGUUCACAUCUACCCUUAGUUUCGAGUGUCCUUGUGUUCGUCCCAUAAGUCUGGUGCCAUAUUGUUUUCAUGUCCUACAACCCAUCCGCGCCAUAGCCUUUGCAUAUUUCAGUUUUAGAGUCCGUAGUGUUGAGUUUGUGUCCUGGUCGAGGUCUUGUUACUGGUUAGGUCUUGUUAGAGUCCAAUUUGUGUGUUUCUUCCCACCGUUUCCAUCAAUUUAUAGCCACCGCCGCAAAUUUUCCCACUUCAGGACUGUUUUGUCCUCUAAUUCGGAGUCCGUUCGUAAAACAGCCAUAACUUUCGCAUACGUUCCAUAUAUCAAAAUCGAUCAGAAAAUUUUUUUUGGGUCUGUCUAUGCCCGCCACGGGCGGGUUCGACAAAUUAGGAUCCCCAAAUUCGCCUCUGAAGUUUGAGUUUUCAUCUCCUAAAGUUUUCUUUAUAUUUUUCGCAAUCUUCAAAACUUUCCACAGGCCACGUCUUUCACUUGUUCAAGCUCAAAUUUCCUGUGGUUACUUCUUGAGUGCUCCUAAGUAAAAGAAAAAUAUCAAAGAAAAAAUAAAAUAAUUGCAGGUUUCGAACCGUGUUGUUCGCAAACUGGAUUGAUUUGUGUCUCUUUUCCACCAAAUCGAUAGUUGCCAGA
rnacentral:lncRNA from 1 species